rnacentral:sRNA from 1 species
CCCAUCGCGGCCGCCACCGCGUCCUCGCCGCCGCCGCAGCCGCCGCCGCAGCCGCAGCGCCAGACGGCGACGCCGACGAGUCCGACGUGGUCUGCAGGUGCAGGAAGCUCCCGUCGUUGUACCUCAUCCACGCCGGCGCCCCGCCUGCCCCGACCCCACCCGCCGCCGCCGCCGCCGCCACCGCCGCGUC